rnacentral:piRNA from 5 species
GUCUAGUGGUUAGGAUUCGGCGCU